UGGGGAGUCGUACAACGGCAGUACUCCAGACUCUGGAUCUGGCUAUCUAGGUUCGAAUCCUAGCUCCCCAGCCA
rnacentral:tRNA from 1 species